CCUACGGGUGGCAGCAGUGGGGAAUAUUGCACAAUGGGCGAAAGCCUGAUGCAGCAACGCCGCGUGAGUGAUGACGGCCUUCGGGUUGUAAAGCUCUGUCUUCAGGGACGAUAAUUACGGUACCUGAGCAUUAAUGCAUGGCCAAUAACGUUCCAGCAGCCGCGGUAAUACGCAGGUGGCGAGCGUUGUCCGGAUUUACUGGGCGUAAAGGGGGCGUAGGCGGAUUUUUAAGUCAGUUGUGAAAGACUCGGGCUCAACUUUAGUGCUGCAUUUGAAACUGGAAGUCUAGAGUGCAGGAGAGGAGAGUGGAAUUCCUGGUGUAGCGGUGAAAUGCGUAGAGAUUAGGAAGAACACCAGUGGCGAAGGCGAUUCACUGGACUGUAACUGACGCUGAGGCUCGAAAGCGUGGGUAGCAAACAGGAUUAGAUACCCUUGUAGUC
rnacentral:rRNA from 1 species